rnacentral:rRNA from 1 species
UACAGAGGAGCCAAGCGUUGUCCGGAUUGACUGGGCGUAAAGCGCACGCAGGCGGUUGCGCGCGUGGGGUGUGAAAUCUGGCCGCUUAACGGCCAGGCGCCAUCCCAUACGGCGCGACUGGAGUGAUGCAGAGGUCGAUGGAAUUGCCGGUGUAGUGGUGAAAUGCGUAGAGAUCGGCAGGAACACCCAGGGGGGAAACCAGUCGACUGGGCAUCUACUGACGCUGAGGUGCGAGAGCGUGGGGAGCGAACCGGAUUGAGAAACCCU